UGCAGUCGAGCGGUAACAGGGGAAGCUUGCUUCCCGCUGACGAGCGGCGGACGGGUGAGUAAUGCUUAGGAAUCUGCCCAGUAGUGGGGGAUAGCCCGGGGAAACCCGGAUUAAUACCGCAUACGUCCUACGGGAGAAAGCAGGGGAUCUUCGGACCUUGCGCUAUUGGAUGAGCCUAAGUCGGAUUAGCUAGUUGGUGGGGUAAAGGCCUACCAAGGCGACGAUCCGUAGCUGGUCUGAGAGGAUGAUCAGCCACAUCGGGACUGAGACACGGCCCGAACUCCUACGGGAGGCAGCAGUGGGGAAUAUUGGACAAUGGGGGCAACCCUGAUCCAGCCAUGCCGCGUGUGUGAAGAAGGCUUUCGGGUUGUAAAGCACUUUCAGUACGGAGGAAAACCUUAUGGUUAAUACCCAUGAGGCUUGACGU
rnacentral:rRNA from 2 species